rnacentral:lncRNA from 1 species
GGAGGCCGAAGAAACACAUUAUCCAGAAUGCUUGCCAGCAGCUUUCUGGUUUAGAAUCUACCAGGCAGAGGCCAAAAGCUCUGAAAGGUCAAAGACAAGAAGAAACGGUUAUUCUCUGUCCAGGGAGUGAAUCCUUGUGGGUUUCAACAGAUUGUGACUCGUUUGUAACCAAAAACCGUGGGAAUUAUUCUCUUGCUGCUUUGGUGAUCAAAGAACAUGGAGGGAAGAUUUCCUGGAUGCCGGAACAAUACUAGGCUUCUCACCGCAGCCCAUGAAGCUAAGACAGGGUGAGCUCUGUGUUUGGCCCCCUCAGGUUCCAGCCCUUGGCUCGGAGCGAUAUUGGAGACUGACAUCUUUCUGUUUCAGUAUCUUGAUGGAUCAGAAGACUAAAAGUCAUCAGGGUUAAAGCAGGAGUUAAGAUUGACAUAACUUUGAGAAACUAGGAAUCUGCAGUGGUUUAGUAUACCGGUGCCCUGAAGUUCUGAACAAAUCUUUCUCAAGGGUGAAGUUACGUGGAUGAAUGGUAACAAAUCCAUACAGGGAAGCAAGUGAUUAAGGCCAGUGUUUGAGGUAAUGUAUUGGAUUGUGAAUCUCUGGGAUAUGUGCUUAUAGUGAUAUCACUUUUAAAGUUUUAUUAUUUUCCACGUUGCUCAAUAUGCUUGGCAUCUGCUUUCAUUUAUAUUCAUUCCUUCACAUUUGCAGACACAUUUGUUAAAGUUCUGAAAUUCCUCAUAUGAGUUUCUGCUUUAGUCAGAAUUUCAACUCUGUAACAACAACAAAGUCUAUAUUUCUUAAGGCAAAAUGGAUUUAAUUCAGCUUAUGAUUUUAGCCCAUAGUCCUUGGCUCUAUAGUGAAGAAAGUCAUCCUGACAAGAGUAGAAUUAUUCUGCUCAUGGUAGAUAGGAAGGAGAGAGAGAGAGACAGAGAGAGAGAGAGGGAGAGAGAGAGAGAGAGAGAGAGAGAGAGAGAGAGAGAGAGAGAGAGAGAGAGAGAUUUAUAUUUAUGUGUUGGUACCCAUGGAGAAGAUAGUACUGGUUUCCUUGGAACCAUAGUUAUGGGAGGUUAUGAACAAGAGACUUGGGUGCUGGGAAUUGAACUGAGGUCCUUUAGAAGAAGAGCAAGUGCUCUUAAUUACUAAUUCACCUUUCUAAGCCAUAUAUAGCUAUGAGUUUUAUUUCAUAGAGGUCAAAAGAAAUACAAUUCUAUGAAUGGAAGAGAAAUAUCUGAAGAAAAGAAGAUGACAUUUUUGUUUGUUUUAAUUUUGGUUAUAACACUUAACAUAAAAUCAACCAUCUUGACAAUUUUGUUUUGCAGGGCACACCACAGAAUCGUUAAUCAUAGGCACCAUGAUAUGCAGAAACUCUAAUUUUGAUAUUGCCAGAGCCUGAAAGUUCUUAAGAAAAGGAAUCAAUUCUUGAUCUUACAGCACAAGCCAUUGCUCUUCUAUUCAGGAAUUUUUCCCCUGUACCCAUAUCUUCGAGGGUUUUCCCUUCUUUCUCCUCUAUAAGUUUCAGUGUCUCUGGUUUUAUGUGGAGUUCCUUAAUCCAUUUAGAUUUGACCUUAGUACAAGGAGAUAGGAAUGGAUCAACUCGCAUUCUUCUACAUGAUAACCGCCAGUUGUGCCAGCACCAAAGAGAGGCCCAUUGGACUUGCAAACUUUAUAUGCCCCAGUACAGGGGAAUUCCAGGGCCAAAA